rfam:Triticum aestivum genome assembly, contig: Triticum_aestivum_CS42_TGACv1_scaffold_249244_3DL
UUUCUACUCCCUCCGUCCGGAAAUACUUGUCGGAGAAAUAGAUGUAUCUAGACAUAUUUUAGUUCUAGAUACAUCCAUUUUUAUUCAUUUCUCCAACAAAUAUUUCCGGAUGGAGGGAGUACUAU